UGGGGAAUUUUGGACAAUGGGGGAAACCCUGAUCCAGCCAUCCCGCGUGUGCGAUGAAGGCCUUCGGGUUGUAAAGCACUUUUGGCAGGAAAGAAACGUCGCGGGUUAAUACCCCGCGAAACUGACGGUACCUGCAGGAUAAGCACCGGCUAACUACGUGCCAGCAGCCGCGGUAAUACGUAGGGUGCAAGCGUUAAUCGGAAUUACUGGGCGUAAAGCGUGCGCAGGCGGUUCGGAAAGAAAGAUGUGAAAUCCCAGAGCUUAACUUUGGAACUGCAUUUUUAACUACCGGGCUAGAGUGUGUCAGAGGGAGGUGGAAUUCCGCGUGUAGCAGUGAAAUGCGUAGAUAUGCGGAGGAACACCGAUGGCGAAGGCAGCCUCCUGGGAUAACACUGACGCUCAUGCACGAAAGCGUGGGGGAGCAAACAGGAUUAGAUACCCUGGUAGUCCACGCCCUAAACGAUGUCAACUAGCUGUUGGGGCCUUCGGGCCUUGGUAGCGCAGCUAACGCGUGAAGUCGACCGCCUGGGGGAGUACGGUCGCAAGAUUAAAACUCAAAUGAAUUG
rnacentral:rRNA from 1 species